UAAUCCUGUUUGCUUUUCCAAGUGAUUCCUGCAUAUUGAUUUACUCUUCCUCUGCUUUAUUUUAGAAUCUUGAAGGAAGGAGGGAAGGAGGGAAGGAGGGAAGGAGGGAAGGAAGGAAGGAAGGAAGGAAGGAAGGAAGGAAGGAAGGAAGGAAGGAAGGAAGGAAAAGAAACUUAAUUCCAAAUCUAAUAUAUGAAGAGCACUUACCUGCUCACCAACCACAGAAAAAAAAUCAUAUUUCAAUCUGUCAGAAGUCUUCUCAGAAUAUUCCUUGAGUAUGAAUGAUGCCUAAGAACAUUUUUCAAGGGGAUGAUUUUCAGGAGAGGCUUCAUCCUGUACCCAGAGAGGCAGCUUGAUAUGAGGCACAUGGUAGAGGCUCACCACUGAACAAGAUGCCUCCUCCAUUUCCAUUUUUGAGCAAGGAGGCAUCUCGUACGUGACAAAUGGAAGUACCUCCAUUCCAGGUAAGAAAUCAUGCCCUGCAACAAAUGGCAUUUCAGUCUGCAAUCACACCGCCC
rnacentral:lncRNA from 1 species